rnacentral:tRNA from 1 species
AGGGCUAUAGUUCAAUUGGUAGAGCGUCGGUUUCCAAAACCGAAAGUUGUGGGUUCGAGUCCCUCUGGCCCUGCCA